UCUGGGGUCCGGGUUCCAUCGGCCGCCAUCCCGGCCGUGGCACUGCCAUGGCGGGCCCGCGUACGCGGGGGGAGGCGGAGGCCGUUCUCGUCCUCCACUCCAGCUGGUCGCACCAUUGCCAGGGGGCUUGGGGGGGCGCAGCUCUGGGACCCAGGUACUCUGCUGACGGGCACCGGCGUCCCGAUGGCGGCGGAUGGAGGAGCGGAGUUUGAAGGCCACGUGUGGCGAGAAGCGCCCGGGUUCGGGAUUCAGCGCCCGCCUGCGUGUGUUCCUUUCGCCGCAGGCCCCUUCGCCCUUUCCUGCCCCCCCUCCAGUCUCUAAGUGUUAUCUUUGGUGAGGAGUUUCAGGGGAGCACUAAGCCCUUUGCCCUAGUGCUCCCUCCGCAGGAAGUGGGACCCCUUUUCGGCCUCACUCCUGUAUUUCUUAAGAAGGAACCCCCCCGUUUUGCUCUAGGUACGACCUCUGGUUCCGCUUGGUCCCCAAGUAUAGCUGACACUGAAGGGUCUGUGUCAGCCACCCCUAAACACUUGGCUGUGAGGACUGUGACAGCAGAUGUGUGGCUUUUGCGACCCUCUUCCUUUAGCGUCCUGGAAGCUUUCUUCCCUCCAAACUGUUGGACGUGGAGGAGGGACCUGGCCCCUGUGGUGUCAUAUUUUACGCCGCAAUGGUGGUGACCAGAAACUUGGAUCCUGGCUCCUGGAUUCCGUGCUGAAGUUUGUUUCUCGGCCACAACUUUUCCUUGCAGAUGUUGAUGCCCAAGAAGAACCGGAUUGCCAUCUACGAACUCCUUUUUAAGGAAGGGGUGAUGGUUGCCAAAAAAGACGUCCACAUGCCCAAACACCCCGAGCUG
rnacentral:lncRNA from 1 species